rnacentral:rRNA from 1 species
GGAUGAACGCUGGCGGCGUGCCUAAUACCUGCAAGUCGAGCGAACAGACGAGGAGCUUGCUCCUUUGACGUUAGCGGCGGACGGGUGAGUAACGCGUGGGUAACCUACCUAUAAGACUGGGAUAACUUCGGGAAACCGGAGCUAAUACCGGAUAAUAUUUCGAACCGCAUGGUUCGAUAGUGAAAGAUGGCUCUGCUAUCACUUAUAGAUGGACCUGCGCCGUAUUAGCUAGUUGGUAAGGUAACGGCUUACCAAGGCAACGAUACGUAGCCGACCUGAGAGGGUGAUCGGCCACACUGGAACUGAGACACGGUCCAGACUCCUACGGGAGGCAGCAGUAGGGAAUCUUCCGCAAUGGGCGAAAGCCUGACGGAGCAACGCCGCGUGAGUGAUGAAGGUCUUCGGAUCGUAAAACUCUGUUAUUAGGGAAGAACAAACGUGUAAGUAACUGUGCACGUCUUGACGGUACCUAAUCAGAAAGCCACGGCUAACUACGUG